AUCGAACGCUGGCGGCAGGCCUAACACAUGCAAGUCGAACGAGUGGCGGACGGGUGAGUAAUGUCUGGGAAACUGCCCGAUGGAGGGGGAUAACUACUGGAAACGGUAGCUAAUACCGCAUACCAUCGGAUGUGCCCAGAUGGGAUUAGCUAGUAGGUGGGGUAACGGCUCCCCUAGGCGACGAUCCCUAGCUGGUCUGAGUGGAUGACCAGCCACGUUGGAACUGGGACACGGUCCAGACUCCUACGGGAGGCAGAGGGGGGGAAUAUUGCACAAUGGGCGCAAGCCGGAGGCAGCCAUGCCGCGGGUAUGAAGAAGGCCUUGGGGUGUUAAAGUACUUUCAGCGAGGAGGCGUUACUCGCAGAAGAAGCACCGGCUAACUCCGUGCCAGCAGCCGCGGUAAUUC
rnacentral:rRNA from 1 species